AGCAGUCGCCGCGGGAAUACAGAGGGUGCGAGCGUUAAUCGGAUUUACUGGGCGUAAAGCGUGCGUAGGCGGCUUCUUAAGUCGGAUGUGAAAUCCCUGAGCUUAACUUAGGAAUUGCAUUCGAUACUGGUUAGCUAGAGUGUGGGAGAGGAUGGUAGAAUUCCAGGUGUAGCGGUGAAAUGCGUAGAGAUCUGGAGGAAUACCGAUGGCGAAGGCAGCCAUCUGGCCUAACACUGACGCUGAGGUACGAAAGCAUGGGGAGCAAACAGGAUUAGAUACCCGUGUAGUCCCUGUCUCUUAUAC
rnacentral:rRNA from 1 species